GUGUCUUGGGUUGGGUAUGGGGUGGAUAUGGGGUGGGUAUGGGGUGGAUAUGGGGUGAAUAUGGAAUGGUAUGGGGUUAUGGGGGGCUGUGGGGUGGAUAUGGGGCUCUAUGGGGUCUCUAUGGGUUCCUUUGGGGUCUCUAUGGGUCUGUAUGGGGUCUCUGUGGGUUUGAAAAGGUCUUUAUGGGGUCCCUAUGGGGUCUCUGUGGGUCUCUGUGGGGCUCUAUGUGUCUCUAUGGGGUCUUUUUGGGUUCUUGUGGGUCUCUAUGGGAUCUAUGGGGUCUCUGUGGGGUGCUGAUGUUCUCCAUGGGUCUCUAUGGGAUUCCUAUGGGUCUUGGUGGGAUCUAUGGGUCCCUAUGGGUUUCUAUGGGUCCCUAUGGGAUCUGUGGGUCUCUAUGGGAUCUGUGGGCUCUGUGGGGCUCUGUGGGUCGCUAUGGGGUCUCUAUGGAGUCCCUAUGGGGUUUCUGUGGGGCCUCAAUGGGUCCCUAUGGGUCUCUAUGGGGUUUCUGUGGGGUCCCAAUGGGAUCUGUGGGUCUCUAUGGGUCUUUAUGGGUCCCUAUGGGUCCCUAUGGGUCCCUAUGGGAUCUGUGGGUAUUUAUGGGUCUCUAUGGGGUUUCUAUGGGGCCUCUGUGGGUCCCUAUGGGGUCCCUAUGGGAUCUAUGGGUUUCUAUGGGGUCCCUAUGGGUCCCUAUGGGUCUCUAUGGGUCCCUAUGGGAUCCCUAUGGGAUCUAUGGGUCUCUAUGGGGUCUCUAUGGGUCCCUAUGGAUCUCUAUGGGUUUCUAUGGGUCCCUAUGGGUCUUUAUGGGUUCCUAUGGGUCUCUAUGGGUCCCUAUGGGGUCCCUAUGGGAUCUAUGGGUUUCUAUGGGGUCCCUAUGGGGUCCCUAUGGGUCUCUAUGGGGUCUCUAUGGGGUUUCUAUGGGGUCCCUAUGGGUCACAGUGGCUCCUGCCCCAUAGGAAAAAGUCGACCCGACGGCCGCCUCCAAUCCCGACCUGCACCUGAACCGCGCCACGGUGAGAGCCAAUGGGAGCCGGGGGCGGGGCGCCGGGCGGCCAAUGGGAGCGCGGGGAUGGAGGGAGAAGGGGGCGGGGCUAUAGGAUCUAUGGGGCGCUACGGGGUCUCUGUGGGGCAGCUUUGGGGGCACGGUGGGGUCUCUGUGGGGCUCUAUAGGGCACUAUGGGGCUCUGUGGGGUCUCUAUGGGGCUCUAUGGGUCACUAUGGGGCACUAUGGGGUCUCUAUGGGGUCUGUGGGGUCUCUGUGGGUCUCUGUGGGUCUCUAUGGGUUUCUAUGGGGUCUCUAUGGGGCUCUAUGGGGGCUCUAUGGGUCUCUAUGGGUUUCUAUGGGGGCUCUAUGNNNNNNNNNNNNNNNNNNNNNNNNNNNNNNNNNNNNNNNNNNNNNNNNCUGUGGGUCUCUGUGGGUCUCUAUGGGGCUCUAUGGGGUCUCUAUGGGGUCUCUGUGGGGCCCUAUGGGUCCCUAUGGGUUUCUAUGGGGUCUCUAUGGGGCUCUAUGGGGUCUCUGUGGGGCUCUAUGGGGUCUCUAUGGGGCACUGUAGGUCUCUAUGGGGUCCCUAUGGGUCUCUAUGGGUCCCUAUGGGGUCUCUAGGGGCUCUAUGGGGCUCUAUGGGGCUCUAUGGGUCUCUUUAUGGGUUCUGUGGGUCCCUAUGGGUCCCUGUAGGUUUCUAUGGG
rnacentral:lncRNA from 1 species